UUUUAUUGUUCGCAAACAGGCAACAAAAUGUAUAGUGAUACUACAAGUAAUAGCGCAAUGCUGCCGAACUAUCUGGAAACUGUUGUUACAGUGACUAAACAAAUGACAAGGCUGCAAUAUUUAUUGAGAAGGUGAGAAGGAGAUUUGUUUUUACAACAGCUAACAAAUUCAGAGGCAGCACUGGGGCCGAGGCAGUCCUGCUGCAGACAACAGCUGCCCUCUAGACAGGCGAGCACAGGCUGAGCUAGUUUGUGUAUAAUAAUCUGGCGGUCCUAGAGCGGCCCGUCAUGUAAUUUAAUGGUCGAUUGGAAUGAUUACACUGUUAAGACCACGAAGGCUUGUGGAACUCAGCCAGGACUGAACGUGGAGGAAAUGCUGAGAGAUGCUGGUUGGAUGAUAAACAUGCGGCUGUCCACUUACUCCCUCAUGCGUCUUCAAUGUACAGUCAAGUGUUCACUCAACGGUUGGUUGGACGAAGGCUGUGUCCCAGAGGUCUGCCUGAUGAGCAGUUCAUGGAUACCCCACCUCCCCAUUUGUCCUCAACCUGCUUUGACCAUCUCCACCACCGUCAUUUGAACCCCCUGUGUUAUAGAAGGGGUGAAAAUGUCAACAUUGAGACGGAUAACUGCUGCCAAUUAUGCUAAAUGGCCGACAUCAACUGCCAGUGUGUUGACUUUAGCCUGCUUUUAUGUUCACUGUUAGAUAAUCAAAGAAAAACAAUGAAUGUAAACACACAUGUGGGACAUUAGGGAUAGGAUUGUUGCUAUAUGGAAAUAUGUGUUAGUAAAUUCCUUGUUUGUGCAAACUUACUUGGCGAAUAAAGCUGAUUCUGAUU